GGAAGCUUGGCAGAGUCCGGCUUAUUGCACUAGUCUUGAAAACUAGCGGUCCAGAAAUGUGGCCCGAUGGGUUCGAAUCCCUCAGCUUCCACCA
rnacentral:tRNA from 1 species